AUACAGAAAACAAUUCCAGCCAAUCAGCAGCAGACCCUCCCUCCCAGACCCUCCCACCUCCUGGACAGCAUCCAUUUUGAAGCUGCAUUCUUAGUGAGCUGUCCAGGAGGUGGGAGGGUCUGGGAGGGAGGGUCUGCUGCUGAUUGGCUGGAAUGUGUCUGCUG
rnacentral:miRNA from 1 species